rnacentral:rRNA from 1 species
GACGAACGCUGGCGGCGUGCCUAAUACAUGCAAGUCGAACGAGUGGCGGACGGGUGAGUAACACGUGGGAACCUACCCAUCAGAGGGGGAUAGCACGGGGAAAAUCGUAUUAAUACCGCAUACUAUUAGAUGAGCCUAAGUCGGAUUAGCUAGAUGGGGGGGUAAAGGCCUACCAUGGCGACGAUCUGUAGCUGGUCUGAGAGGAUGAUCAGCCACACCGGGACUGAGACACGGCCCGGACUCCUACGGGAGGCAGCAGUGGGGAAUAUUGGACAAUGGGGGAAACCUGAUCCAGCCAUGCCGCGUGUGUGAAGAAGGCCUUUUGGUUGUAAAGCACUUUAAGCAGUGAAGCAUUAGCUGCAGAAUAAGCACCGGCUAACUCUGUGCCAGCAGCCGCGGUAAUUC